rnacentral:rRNA from 1 species
CCUACGGGCGGCAGCAGUGGGGAAUAUUGCACAAUGGGGGAAACCCUGAUGCAGCGACGCCGCGUGAGUGAAGAAGGAUUUCGGGAUGUAAAGCUCUAUCAGCAGGGAAGAAGAAAGACGGUACCGGACGAAGAAGCCCCGGCGAACUACGUGCCAGCAGCCGCGGUAAGACGUAGGGGGCAAGCGGGAGCCGGAUGGACGGGGUGUAAAGGGAGCGGAAACUGCUGUGCAAGUCGGACGGGAACGCCCAGGGCUCAACCAGGGGACUGCGUUUGAAACUGUGGAGCUAGCUGGCUGGAGAGGUAAGUGGAAUUCCUAGUGUAGCGGUUAACUGCGUAGAUAUUAGGAGGAACACCAGUGGCGCAGGCGACUUACUGGACCGUAACUGACGUUGCGGCUUGAAAGCGUGGGGAGCAAACAGGAUUAGAUACCCUUGUAGUC